GACGAACGCUGGCGGCGUGCUUAACACAUGCAAGUCGAACGGAAAGGCCCUGCUUUUGUGGGGGGCUCGAGUGGCGAACGGGUGAGUAACACGGGAGUAACCUGCCCUUGACUUUGGGAUAACUUCAGAGAACUGGGGCUAAUACCGGAUAGGAGCUCCUGCUGCAUGGUGGGCGUUGGAAAGUUUAGGCGGUUGGGGAUGGACUCGCGGCUUAUCAGCUUGUUGGUGGGGGAGUGGCUUACCAAGGCUUUGACGGGUAGCCGGCCUGAGAGGGUGACCGGGCACAUUGGGACUGAGAUACGGCCCAGACUCCUACGGGAGGCAGCAGUGGGGAAUAUUGCACAAUGGGCGGAAGCCUGAUGAAGCAACGCCGCGUGCGGGAUGAGGGCCUUCGGGUUGUAAACCGCUUUCGCCUGUGACGAAGCGUGAGUGACGGUAAUGGGUAAAGAAGCACCGGCUAACUACGUG
rnacentral:rRNA from 1 species